rnacentral:rRNA from 1 species
ACUGCUUGCUAUACUACCCUGAACACGCCCGAUCUCCUGUGAUCUUGGAGGCUAAGCAGGGUGGGGCCUGGUGAGUACUUGGAUGGGAGAACAGGAAAAGGUAGAU